UACGUAGGGCGCAAGCGUUGUCCGGAAUCAUUGGGCGUAAAGAGCGCGUAGGCGGUCCGGUAAGUCCGCUGUGAAAGUCAAGGGCUCAACCCUUGAAUGCCGGUGGAUACUGUCGGGCUAGAGUCCGGAAGAGGCGAGUGGAACUCCUGGUGUAGCGGUGGAAUGCGCAGAUAUCAGGAAGAACACCGACGGCGAAGGCAGCUCGCUGGGACGGUACUGACGCUGAGGCGCGAAAGCGUGGGGAGCGAACAGG
rnacentral:rRNA from 1 species